GGAAGACCGCCAGCCCGGGCCAGCGUCCCGCAGCCUGACCGUCCCGCCAGCCUGGGUGUAGACGUGAAGGAAGGGGACACAGAGACUUGGAUGGCGGCACACAUGAGAUAGCUGCAGCUAUAAAGGCAAGAGGUCGGCUACAACACAUUCCUGCAAGGACAACAUUUUAUCCUUAAACUUCAGCACACCUGAUGGUCAAGAACAGUUGGCUACAUACAUUCUUUUUCUUCUGUGAGAUUUGGCCUACUCACAUAUAAGUGGCAUUUAUAAUGUUGGUAUCAUGCUUCCCUGCUUGGAGCCUGGAUGGGAGUAUAUCAGCAAUAAGUGGUACUCAGGGGUACAGGACAGAGCAGGGGGACCCAAGGCCCCCUUCCCACAGCAAGCUUACAGGCUGAAGCAGGCCUGAACUGGAUCAGGGAGAGGAUUGAUACUGCUCUGUCCAGCUUUGAGUUUUGAUUACUAUGUGAGAAUUCUCUUCUAAAUAUUCUAUGGUUGCAACUUCUCACCCAGCGCAGGGGUUUUUACUUGGGGCCAUGGACCCACUGGGUCUAUGGGUAAAAAAUCUGUAUUUCUACAUUGGAUGGGAAAAAAUAAUGUUUAACUAAACUAACUGGAAUUUAGCAUUUCAUUUAGUAUAAAAUGCUAGCACCAAACCCCAGGAGGAUCAUUGGUAUCUGUGACUGUGUGACCAAUAGAAAUCACAGAUAUUUGUAAUUUAUAUUAGAUUCUUUGCAGAUGUCUCAGAAUACCAUUUACCUUCAUCAUGAUGUCAAAAUUAUGGUUGUUAAUACAUGUACCAUCAGUUCUUGUAAUUUAAUAUGCAAAUAAAGCAGCAUCAAUACCUGAUAGCU